rnacentral:rRNA from 1 species
UACGAAGGGGGCUAGCGUUGCUCGGAAUCACUGGGCGUAAAGCGCACGUAGGCGGCUUUUUAAGUCAGAGGUGAAAUCCCGGAGCUCAACUCCAGAACUGCCUUUGAUACUGGAGAGCUUGAGUCCGGGAGAGGUGAGUGGAACUGCGAGUGUAGAGGUGAAAUUCGUAGAUAUUCGCAAGAACACCAGUGGCGAAGGCGGCUCACUGGCCCGGUACUGACGCUGAGGUGCGAAAG